rnacentral:rRNA from 1 species
GAUGAACGCUAGCGGCAGGCUUAAUACAUGCAAGUCGAGGGGCAGCAUGAGUGUAGCAAUACAUUUGAUGGCGACCGGCAAACGGGUGCGGAACACGUACUGAACCUUCCUUUAAGUGGGGAAUAGCCCAGGGAAACUUGGAUUAAUACCCCGUAACAUAAUGAAGUGGCAUCACUUUAUUAUUAUAGCUCCGGCGCUUAAAGAUGGCAGUGCGGCUGAUUAGGUAGUUGGCGGGGUAACGGCCCACCAAGCCUGCGAUCAGUAACUGGUGUGAGAGCACGACCAGUCACACGGGCACUGAGACACGGGCCCGACUCCUACGGGAGGCAGCAGUAAGGAAUAUUGGGCAAUGGACGCAAGUCUGACCCAGCCAUGCCGCGUGGAGGAUGAAGGUCCUCUGGAUUGUAAACUUCUUUUAUAUGGGACGAAAAAGGGUCUUUCUAGAUCAACUGACGGUACCAUAUGAAUAAGCACCGGCUAACUCCGUGCCAGCCGCCGCCGUAAGAC